rnacentral:rRNA from 1 species
UACGUAGGGAGCAAGCGUUGUCCGGAAUUAUUGGGCGUAAAGGGCAGGUAGGUGGUCUUAUUUGUCCGGGGUGAAAUCCUUGAGCUUAACUCAAGAAGUGCCCCGGAGACGGUGAGACUAGAGUUUUGGAGAGGGUCGUGGAAUUCCCGGUGUAGCGGUGAAAUGCGUAGAGAUCGGGAGGAACACCAGAGGCGAAAGCGGCGACCUGGACAAUGACUGACACUCAACUGCGAAAGCGUGGGGAGCAAACAGG